CAGCCAAAACACCAAGCACGGGGAAAGAAAUGUGUUAGAGUGAUACCGUCAUAGUAGUUCCCAGGGCGGGGAAUUAUCCUCAUUUGGGGUAUAAGACUGGGAUUCUGGGGCUUGUGUUUUGUCUUUUCUCCUGUUUUGUGUUGUGGACACUAGGGAUGGGCGUGGUUAAUCGAAUCCGGAUAUCCUAAAACUGGCAAAGUGAAUGCAGAAGCAUUUCAGAUAAGUUUUCUGCAAUUUGUGUACUGCAACUAUGAAGAGAACCAACUUCUUGGAAAGGAGCCAUUAGUUUGUCCAGCCUGUAGCCCUGAAAUGGUGGCUGGUUCUGUGGAUGGCAACGGAAAGUUGUACAGGUUCCAGAAAACAAACCAGAGUGAAGAGCCAGGGUUCUUCGAUUGAGUGUUUUUAGCCCGAGACUCUGAGGUGUCCAGUUUUGUUGAGGAGGUCCGGGGAACUGUCAAGAGUACUGCAGGAAAAGCGGUGUUUGGUGACUCCCAAUGGAAUGCAGGAAGAGAAACUUCAAAGCGGGCCAACAAGUUGGAUGAAGAAGGUCUCAAAGCUCUGAAUAUGUAUAGAGGAGAAAUCUUUGCAUAUCCAAUGUUUCUCCAAAAAGUGUUCCAGAGUGCUACAUUUUUGGCCAUGGAUGUGACCUGCCGAUAUGUGCCAUACUUGACAAAAGUGUCAGAGGCCCUGACUCAACUUCAACCCCUUCAGGAAAUGAGGCAUUGCUCAUCUGUGAUGCAUGCCAAAGCCCACAAUACAAAAUGCGAGAUUCUGUGGACUGCAAGGAACCAGGAGGGCGCCGGCACCAUUUGUAACAGACGUGGUAUUGCAAGUUCCGUCAGAGGUAUACGGGCCAUUGUCCGCUCCGAUCGGGAGUCAAACUCACCACCUCUGACUUCCCAAGCGCCACCACUACCAACUACGGCAACGAAAAGCUAGCAAUUCGUUGACGCG